CUCAGGUGGGGGAUUAGAAGCUAAGGUUUCAGCAGGAGACUGAAGGCAAGGGUAUCCCUGGCUCAGCCCAGAGUUGCAGGGGGUGGGAGAGCCCUGCUCCCCUGGCUCAGCAGGGGCGGGCAGGACUCCCAAGCGCCUUCCACCUCUGCCCAGCCAGGGAUGUGUGGGAGCAUCCAGAGGCCAGGGUGCCAGGUCAUCCCCCAGCCGGGUGACACACAGGGAAAGGUGGUAUCACUGUUUUCAGGGGAGCCUACAAAGGGAGGAGCCAGGCCAGGCCUUUCGCAGCAGCAGCAGCUUGUGUCCCCCUGACAAACAUUUUCAAAGCCCAGACUCCGUGCAGACAUGGAGCAAAUAUUCUCUGACCCCUGAGAGGUGCCAAGCGUGUCAUUUCAACUCCCCUCUCCGCAGUUCCAGAGUCAGGUGGGCCCUGGGAGGUCGCUGUGCAGGAUGGGGUCCUCUCCUGCCACCCUGCCCAGACUGCCUGGGGCUCAGCUCCCACCUCUCCUCUAGGCCCUGCAGAGGCUCAACUUUGCAGACAAGCUUUCCUGUAAUUGUCCUUCUGUCAUCACAGCUCUUGACACAGAAACCAGCCAAGGGGCUGUGGAAAGGCAUAGGCAGAAAGCCUUCCAGGGAAGUCCCUCCUAAAGCUAACCUAAGUGCCUCCUGUGUAGCAUCAGCUCCUCUGGGGAUGGAACCCAGGGGACAGGCUCCGGUCUCAGGGGGCCUCAGGAACCAGGCUGCGGAGUGGCAGGGAGACAACUUGGCCCCCAAAUCCCAUGGAUGA
rnacentral:lncRNA from 1 species